ensembl:lncRNA
AUGCUCCUCUUUGCGACCUUCGCGUUUCUUGUAGAUUUAUCCUGGGCUCUUCCAACAGAUAUCAUUAUUCAAUUCGAGCGCAGUGUUUUGCUAAACGGGACCGUAGUUGAGAGGAUCCUUGUCAGUGAUGCAAAUUUAAAGGGACAUUUCGACAAGCAACCUGUUGUCAGACCCAUUCAAGACGAAGUCCUGAAGACGAUGGUGGAGAAUGAUCAUGAAACAUCAAGUUAUGGCACAUAUAUACGUUUGAGGGAAUGUAAGCUGCGAGGAUAUCGAGUCCUGCAGCUGUCCGACCGGUUUCAGCUCAAUGGCAAAGACUAUUUGACUUUAGAUUCAGACAGAGAUUCGUGGACAGCGUUGAUGCCAGAGGCGCAUGAUCUAAAGAAGUCAUGGACGCUUAAGGCCGAGCAUGCGAGUCUAGAGAAAACUCACCUGAAAGAAGAAUGUGAGGAAUUCGUUAAACAGAUAAAUGAUGCACAGAAUCAAGAAGGGCUUGGUGUGUUAAGAGUGAUGGCUCCAGUUCUCGCCACUUUUCUCUUCACUGUAUUUGUCUUUAUGAGCCUCCUUAUCUUCAAGCGACACGGUCAUCACCCAGGAGGUGUUUUAGGCUCAAUUAUCCACUAUCCAGCCCAUCAUCUUGAAGCACCAUUGAACAACAAACAGAGUCAAAAGGACAUCUCUCAAGUUCCAAUGCUGAAGGUUCCCAAUAGCAAUCACCUAACCUGCCCAACCACAUUAUUGUGAAGAUUCAACUCUGUGUCAUAAUUUCAGAAGUCUUAGACUGAUUUGAAAGUUCAGUAAUAAAAUUGUUCAAAAGUAAAUAUCA